AUUGAACGCUGGCGGCAUGCCUUACACAUGCAAGUCGAACGGCAGCACGGGAGCAAUCCUGGUGGCGAGUGGCGAACGGGUGAGUAAUAUAUCGGAACGUGCCCAGUCGUGGGGAUAACGUAGCGAAAGCUACGCUAAUACCGCAUACGAUCUAUGGAUGAAAGCGGGGGAUCGCAAGACCUCGCGCGAUUGGAGCGGCCGAUAUCAGAUUAGGUAGUUGGUGAGGUAAAGGCUCACCAAGCCGACGAUCUGUAGCUGGUCUGAGAGGACGACCAGCCACACUGGGACUGAGACACGGCCCAGACUCCUACGGGNGGCAGCAGUGGGGAAUUUUUGGACAAUGGGCGCAAGCCUGAUCCAGCAAUGCCGCGUGCAGGAUGAAGGCCU
rnacentral:rRNA from 1 species